rnacentral:rRNA from 1 species
GAUGAACGCUGGCGGCGUGCCUAAUACAUGCAAGUCGAGCGAACAGAUAAGGAGCUUGCUCCUUUGACGUUAGCGGCGGACGGGUGAGUAACACGUGGGUAACCUACCUAUAAGACUGGAAUAACUCCGGGAAACCGGGGCUAAUGCCGGAUAACAUUUAGAACCGCAUGGUUCUAAAGUGAAAGAUGGUUUUGCUAUCACUUAUAGAUGGACCCGCGCCGUAUUAGCUAGUUGGUAAGGUAACGGCUUACCAAGGCAACGAUACGUAGCCGACCUGGGAGGGUGAUCGGCCACACUGGAACUGAGACACGGUCCAGACUCCUACGGGAGGCAGCAGUAGGGAAUCUUCCGCAAUGGGCGAAAGCCUGACGGAGCAACGCCGCGUGAGUGAUGAAGGUCUUCGGAUCGUAAAACUCUGUUAUUAGGGAAGAACAAAUGUGUAAGUAACUGUGCACGUCCUGACGGUACCUAAUCAGAAAGCCACGGCUAACUACGUG